GACGUAGGGGGCGAGCGUUGUCCGGAUUUAUUGGGCGUAAAGCGUGCGUAGGCGGCUGCGCAAGUCGGGUGUGAAACCCCGGGGCUCAACCCCGGAACUGCAUCCGAUACUGCGUGGCUAGAGGUAGGUAGGGGAGAUCGGAAUUCCUGGUGUAGCGGUGAAAUGCGCAGAUAUCGGGAGGAACACCAGUGGCGAAGGCAGCUCGCUGGGACGUUACUGACGCUGAGACGCGAAAGCGUGGGGAGCAAACAGG
rnacentral:rRNA from 1 species